rnacentral:rRNA from 1 species
GAUGAACGCUAGCUACAGGCUUAACACAUGCAAGUCGAGGGACCGGCGCACGGGUGAGUAACGCGUAUCCAACCUACCCAAUACUCAGGCAUAACCCGUUGAACGACGGACUAAUUCCUGACGGUAUUGGAUGGGGAUGCGUCUGAUUAGUUUGUUGGUGAGGUAACGGCUCACCAAGACUUCGAUCAGUAGGGGUUCUGAGAGGAAGGUCCCCGACAUUGGAAAGGAAGCACGAUCCAAACACCAACAGGAGGCAGCAGUGAGGAAUAUUGGUCAAUAGAAGCAAAUCUGAACCAGCCAAGUAGCGUGCAGGAUGGCGGCCAAUGGGUAGUAAACUGCUUUUAUAUGGGAAUAUGUGUCACAUGAAUAAGGGCCGGCAAAUUCCAGGCCAGCAGCCGCGGUAAAAC